CCUACGGGGGGCAGCAGUGGGGAAUAUUGCACAAUGGGGGAAACCCUGAUGCAGCGACGCCGCGUGAGUGAAGAAGCGUUUCGGCGUGUAAAGCUCUGUCAGCGGGGAAGAAACACGGUUCGCGAGAGCCGCGGACGGUACCCGACCAAGAAGCCCCGGCUAACUACGUGCCAGCAGCCGCGGUAAUACGUAGGGGGCAAGAGUUAUCCGGGUUCACAGGGUGUAAAGGGAGUGUAGAGGGCGAGACAAGUCUGGAGUGAAAGGCCGGGGUCCAACCCCGGGACUGCUCUGGAAACUGCCUGGCUGGAGUACAGGAGAGGUAAGUGGAAUGCGUAGUGUAGCGGUGAAAUGCGUAGAUAUUAGGAGGAACACCAGUGGCGAAGGCGGCUUACUGGACUUUAACUGACGUUGAGGCUCGAAAGCGUGGGGAGCGAACAGGAUUAGAUACCCGUGUAGUC
rnacentral:rRNA from 1 species